rnacentral:rRNA from 1 species
AUUGAACGCUAGCGGGAUGCCUUACACAUGCAAGUCGAACGGAGUGGCGAACGGGUGAGUAAUGUAUCGGAACGUGCCCAGUAGCGGGGGAUAACUACGCGAAAGCGUAGCUAAUACCGCAUACUAUUGGAGCGGCCGAACUCGGAUUAGCUAGUUGGUGGGGUAACGGCUAACCAAGGUGACGAUCCCUAGCGAGUUUGAGAGGACGCCCAGCCACACUGGGAAUGAGACACGGCCCAGCUUCCUACGGGAGGCAGCAGUGGGGAAUUUUGGACAAUGGGGGAAACCCGGAUCCAGCCAUCCCGCGUGUGCGAGGAAGUCCUUCGGGUGUUAAAGCACUUUUGUCAGGAAAGCGGUACCUGCAGAAUAAGCACCGGCUAACUACGUGCCAGCAGCCGCGGUAAUAC